rnacentral:lncRNA from 1 species
CUGGGUUUAUUAUUUUCUAUUUUGUUAAACACAGAGAAUCUUUCACUCUUCUCUUAAAAUUUCUUUAGAAAAUAAUAGAGGUUUUCCCACCACUAUUUUUUGUAGCCAAACAAGUCCCAGCUACCUACCGUGUGGGAGGAGAGAAUCUAAAAUGUAAACAGGUUAAUGCUACACCAUGACAUCUGGCAGUGAUGAAGCAGAAAGAAAGAUGGUUGGAACGAUGCUGAUGAAAUGUUGCUUCAAAUCAGAGGAGAAAAAGUUGUUCAACUUGAUCCCUAGACUUCUGAAGUCUGUGAGAGUCUUGCUUUGGCAUCAGAAAACUUUAGACCAGUUGUGCCAGUUCAUCAAGAGAAGGACCCUAUCCUUUGAAUUUAUCAGUGCCCAGUGAACAAGGUAAGUUGCUGGGUCAGGGACAGAUGGUUCAACUGAGUUCAUAACUGUUCUAAACUACACAACUUGCUCAAAUGGUGGUUCUAUGAAUACGAAAAGAUAGUAAGUGAAAUUAAAACUCUGAAACUAUGCAAUUAAUUUCUGUUCUGGAGAACUAAGGUACUCCAAAAAGAAUGAGUUCUCAAGUACUGAGGUGACCAACAUUUCUAAAAUACACCAGCACGCAAGCUUUUGCUGAGUAAACUAUAAACUCCCACUCUAUUGCAGAAUGACUGUCAGUUCCUGCCUCAUAACAUCUGAACACCAUUUUUUUUUUCAAAGAGUUAAUCAAAGUACACCACCAAGAAUAAGUAAUUCCAAGAAGUGCCAUCAACGAACUCACUUGAACCCAGCUGAGGUGCUGCCCUACAACUUCAAACAAAUGCACCACUUAUGCCUAGCACUCUCCCGUUCCUCCCUGUCCACCACACCUCUGUGACAAGUAUAUAUAGAAAAGUCUAGAGAAAGACUGACACUAAAAAUGUAGCAUUCCUUUCUCAAUGUGCUAAUCUUGUUUUUGCUUUUAGUAACAGUGGCUGGUAUACAAGUUUGCAGUUUUCUGUUCCUGGCUUGAUUUUAGACCACUUAUGGCUAAGGGCCAUGGAUAUUACUAUGAAAUAGUAGUUUUAAUUUGUUCAUUUUUAACAUGUACUUUUUUUCUGGACUUUUAAAAUUAAAUGAAAAUUUCUCUGCCCACAGACAAGCUGUAGUAACUUUCAGUGGGAAAAUAACUUUCUGUCAGCAUUUUUUUGCAUUUCUUCUCUUAAAAAAACCCAUGGCAUGAAAAAAGCUGCAAACUCCACGGUUGCUUGCAAGAAAAAGAAAUUGUAAUUGAUUCCUACAACUGAGAAAAAAUUCUUUGAUAUUUGCACUAUUCACAAGGAGUUCAUCAGUGAAACAACAGCACAUCCUGGGAAGCACACUCCAACAUUGUCAAAGCUUUUUAUAGUAAAAUAGUCUAAGGGUAAAGGAUUCAUGUAAGUGAACAAGAAUGUAACUCAUACAUUAAUCAGUGAUUGUGAAUCAAAAUUAUUCUGGGUAAUUAAGUAACUCUGAAGGUGUUUAAGUACACUAAAAUAAAAAAAAAAAAACCUAAGACA